GACGAACGCUGGCGGCGUGCCUAACACAUGCAAGUCGAGCGAGGAGAGUUCCUUCGGGAACAAACCUAGCGGCGGACGGGUGAGUAACACGUGGGCAACCUGCCUUGUAGAGGGGAAUAGCCUUCCGAAAGGAAGAUUAAUACCGCAUAACAUUACAGUUUCGCAUGAAACAGUAAUUAAAGGAGCAAUCCGCUACAAGAUGGGCCCGCGGCGCAUUAGCUAGUUGGUGAGGUAACGGCUCACCAAGGCGACGAUGCGUAGCCGACCUGAGAGGGUGAUCGGCCACAUUGGGACUGAGACACGGCCCAGACUCCUACGGGAGGCAGCAGUGGGGAAUAUUGCACAAUGGGGGAAACCCUGAUGCAGCAACGCCGCGUGAGUGAUGAAGGUUUUCGGAUCGUAAAGCUCUGUCUUCGGGGACGAUAAUGACGGUACCCGAGGAGGAAGCCACGGCUAACUACGUG
rnacentral:rRNA from 1 species